GUGGAUGGAGCCUGAGCUAGAGCAGGACCUGCAGGCCCGAGGCAGGGGGCUCCUGUCAUGGAUGCCUUUGGCUUCACGGUUUCCCCAAGGCUCUGUUGAGCCUUCCUUAGACAGCUGGACGACAGUCUAGGGCACCUCCUGCCUUCUCUACCUCUCUCCUUCACUUGGGAUCAGAUAGAAAAUUCUCCAGCCUUCCCUGACUCCCUAGUCCCCUCCUCUCCGCCCGCCCCCGCACAGGCAUAUUCCUCAAUAAUAUCCCUGCACGUGUAAUCCCAUCUUGGCAUCUAGCCUAACACAUCAAGAAGAAGGGAAGACGGAGGGAAUGCAGCCCGCGGAGCACAGGAGCCUCUUCUGUGACCUCCUAAAAUCAAGCCACUCAGGUACCCAGAUUUCCACUCGCCCUGCCUGCCCAAUAGAUACCCACUGCUUUUAGACAAAGGAAGACGACCGCUUUUAGAGGGUCUGAGUGGGCCCCCCAACGGCUGCCAGAAAACACUGGGCUGAAUCAACCAAAGUCAAGUCAAGAGCAGGAUUAGAUUUUCAGAUGGGUCAUGCUUUUCUUUAAAGUCUGACACUCAAGUAGAAGAAGUAAACUCUCAAACCAAUGAGUAGAAGUUAUAAAAACAACAGAUUUGUGUCCCAAUACAGGAAAGAAAUUUCCAUGGACUGUGUUUUCCACAAUGGGGUGCACAGGCUUUCCAGGAAGCAUUUGCUGACUCCUGAGUGUGUAGCAGUGAAGAAACAAGACAGAGUCCUUGCCUCAUGGAGGUCACAGUUGCAACAACAUUAUUUGAGAUGAUGGCUGCUCGAAUGACAUCAGUCCUGGAAAGAGGAGACGAGGAGCAGAGCUCCUUACAAAUCUACAGUGCAUUUGAAGGUGGAGAGAAAAACAGUCCAUCCAAGUUUGGAGAGAUUUGAAAAGCACUGUGCUUGGGAUUGCUGCUCUUAGAACACUGCCAGGAUAUGAGGUGUCCACCCUAGCCUGCUGGAGAAUGAGAGGCCAUGAGAGGAACAGAGGCGCCCCAGCUGCCAGUCAGCCAGCUUCAGAGCAGCUUGUCAGCUCACUGAACGCGUGAAUGAGCCUCAGAAGAGAUCAGCCCAACCUACACCAGAAAACCUGCCCAGCUGAGCCCAGCUCCAGAUUGCUGAUCCACAGAAUUAUGAGCAGCUCAGACAGAAAAUGAAUGAUUCUGGGGAAAAGAAAGCUGGACUCUAAGAUCCUCUCAAAGGCGAUGUGACCAGAUGAGAGAUCCCCUCACCAGAAUGUGCCAACCUGAGAUUAAACUUCAAACUCGCUGUUCUGACAUUUCCUUCUAUGAGAACAUCAUCUUACCUGGAUUCUGUCAAUGGUCUUUUGCUUACUGCCAAAGUAAAGCACUGCAGAACAUUUGGAAACUAUUGAAAAAUAAAGUCCUAGAAGUAGAAGAGCUGGGUCAAUGGAUACAUCCUUUUAAUGACACUGAAUACAUAUUGCCAAAUUGCCCUUAAGAAGAUCUCACUAUCAAAACAUUGAAGGGGUCAAUUACUUUGGAAACCUUCAAUCUAACUGCAAUUAUGACUGACCUCUUAAUAAAGGGAUGUAAAGUGUCAGGGAGCCAGUGAGGGAGAUUCCUAUGGUGCCACCUUCCCCCGGCCACGAGAAACCACUGCUCAUCUGCCAGCCUCACAGCCAGAGCCACUUCAGCUACCAUCCCAGAAAAGUCCACCUAUCAGGAUUCUGGGCAUUUUCCUCAGAGACCCCUGGGCUUCCUUUCUAAAUAAAUGGUUCAUUCACC